GACGAACGCUGGCGGCGUGCUUAACACAUGCAAGUCGAGCGGAAAGGCCCUGCUUUUGUGGGGUGCUCGAGUGGCGAAAGGGUGAGUAACACGUGAGUAACCUGCCCUUGACUUUGGGAUAACUUCAGGAAACUGGGGCUAAUACCGGAUAGGAGCUCCUGCUGCAUGGUGGGGGUUGGAAAGUUUCGGCGGUUGGGGAUGGACUCGCGGCUUAUCAGCUUGUUGGUGGGGUAGUGGCUUACCAAGGCUUUGACGGGUAGCCGGCCUGAGAGGGUGACCGGCCACAUUGGGACUGAGAUACGGCCCAGACACCUACGGGAGGCAGCAGUGGGGAAUAUUGCACAAUGGGCGGAAGCCUGAUGCAGCAACGCCGCGUGCGGGAUGACGGCCUUCGGGUUGUAAACCGCUUUCGCAUGUGACGAAGCGUGAGUGACGGUAAUGGGUAAAGAAGCACCGGCUAACUACGUG
rnacentral:rRNA from 1 species